GACGAACGCUGGCGGCGUGCUUAACACAUGCAAGUCGAACGGAAAGGCCCUGCUUUUGUGGGGUGCUCGAGUGGCGAACGGGUGAGUAACACGUGAGUAACCUGCCCUUGACUUUGGGAUAACUUCAGGAAACUGGGGCUAAUACCGGAUAGGAGCUCCUGCUGCAUGGUGGGGGUUGGAAAGUUUCGGCGGUUGGGGAUGGACUCGCGGCUUAUCAGCUUGUUGGUGGGGUAGUGGCUUACCAAGGCUUUGACGGGUAGCCGGCCUGAGAGGGUGACCGGCCACAUUGGGACUGAGAUACGGCCCAGACUCCUACGGGAGGCAGCAGUGGGGAAUAUUGCACAAUGGGCGGAAGCCUGAUGCAGCAACGCCGCGUGCGGGAUGACGGCCUUCGGGGUGUAAACCGCUUGCGCCUGUGACGAAGCGUGAGUGACGGUAAUGGGUAAAGAAGCACCGGCUAAGUACGUG
rnacentral:rRNA from 1 species